GACGAACGCUGGCGGCGUGCUUAACACAUGCAAGUCGAACGGAAAGGCCCUGCUUUUGUGGGGUGCUCGAGUGGCGAACGGGUGAGUAACACGUGAGUAACCUGCCCUUGACUUUGGGAUAACUUCAGGAAACUGGGGCUAAUACCGGAUAGGAGCUCCUGCUGCAUGGUGGGGGUUGGAAAGUUUCGGCGGUUGGGGAUGGACUCGCGGCUUAUCAGCUUGUUGGUGGGGUAGUGGCUUACCAAGGCUUUGACGGGUAGCCGGCCUGAGAGGGUGACCGGCCACAUUGGGACUGAGAUACGGCCCAGACUCCUACGGGAGGCAGCAGUGGGGAAUAUUGCACAAUGGGCGGAAGCCUGAUGAAGCAACGCCGCGUGCGGGAUGAAGGCCUUCGGGUUGUAAACCGCUUUCGCCUGUGACGAAGCGUGAGUGACGGUAAUGGGUAAAGAAGCACCGGCUAACUACGUG
rnacentral:rRNA from 1 species